GCCUUCGUAGUUCAAUGGUAGAACAUUCGGCUGUUAACCGAAGAAUGCUAGGUUCGAUUCCUACCGAAGGCGC
rnacentral:tRNA from 1 species